AAGACACAACGUACCAGAAUCUCUGGGACACAUUUAAACCACUAUCUGGAGGGAAAUUUAUAGCACUAAAUGCCCACAAGAGAAGUGAGGAAAGAUAUAAAAUUGACACCCUAAUGUCAUGAUUAAAAGAACUAGAGGAACAAGAGAAAAAAAAUUCAAA